rnacentral:rRNA from 1 species
CCCUUAGAUGUCCUGGGCCGCACGCGCGCUACACUGAUGGAAGCAACGAGUUUAUAACCUUGGCCGAGAGGUCUGGGUAAUCUUUUGAAAUUUCAUCGUGAUGGGGAUAGAUUAUUGCAACUAGAAUCUUAAACGAGGAAUUCCUAGUAAGCGCAAGUCAUCAGCUUGCGUUGACUACGUCCCUGCCCUUUGUACACACCGCCCGUCGCUCCUACCGAUUGGAUGGUCCGGUGAAGUCUUGGGACCGCGACAACGUUACUGGUUCGCCAGAUAUGUCGUUGUGGAAACUUGACUAAACCUUAUCAUCUAGAGGAAGGAGAAGUCGUANCA